rnacentral:lncRNA from 1 species
CCCCCACCCCAGCACAGACAUCCGGUAGGACCCCCCACCCCAGACAGACAGACACCCCGUGGUAUCCCCUCCACAGACAGACAUCCCGUAGCUGCCACCCCCCCCAGCACAGACAGACAUCUGACAGCUCGCCCCUCUCCCCCUUGGGCCCCAGCACAGACAGACAGAAAGAGAGUAGUAGCCCUCUGCCCCCCAGUACAGAUGCACUGAAAUACAUAGAAAAGAAGAAGACCCAAGGGUGUUAAAAGAGUGAGUGAGAAAGACAGCAGGAGACCAGAGGUGGCUCAGACAGACUGUUCAGCACAGACCCAGGGCAGGAGGGAGGGAGGGAGACAGACAGGCCCAGGCAGGCUGCUUUUCCAGCAGUGCAGAGGGGUAUGUUGAGGCGCACACCCAGAGGGGCCUGCCCUAUAGGAAGCCAAGGGAUAACUUCAGGGAUGUGCUGUUAAUGGGUAAACCUCAUUCUGGCUGAUUCAGUGGGAUAGCCGGGAACAUCUGGAUGCUCCCCUGGCCCGUAGGCCUUCCCAGCAGUGUGGGAUGUGGGGAGGACACCUGGGACUGUAGCUCUGGAAAAACAUCUGGCUGUUAUUACAACCACCUGAUGUGGUGGUUUUGGUUUCCCAUAUCGUGGGCCUGCAGUGGGGUAUAACCUGCGUUGCUGUGAGAAAGGCCUUUCCGUGAAGCCAGUUUGCAAAGGUUUCCCCCGAACUGUGUAGAGAGCAUGGAGAACACAAAUAGGCGCUCCAGACGGAAGAAAGAAAACAUCCCCCCUCUCCUGAGCAGCUAUCUGAAAUCAGAGCACAGAAAAGUCCAGAAGAACGUGAACGUAAAUCUGUAUUUGGGCACUGGAAGCCGAGCGGAAGCUACUCAUCGCUGGGCCAGUGCUGCUGGGUUCACUGGCUGGGAAGCGGAGCAAGGCAGGAGUGCACCAGCUGUAAAAAGCAAAGGCCCCAAGAAGGGGGAUCCCAGCCUGAUACAGACUAAUCUCUCUUGCCCGUCUCAGCCUUUCAGGGCUGCUACCAGCCAGCUCUCCGCCUCCUGCUCCCAGCAGCAAACUAACCUCUACUGCAGGCUGCAGCGGCGCAGCUCUGAAAAGGUGGCAUGUGGCAAUCCCCCGCUGCCUUCAUCAUCUCCACCCAACGUGGCUCUUCAGCGGAGACGUUCCUGCUUUGACACGGCUGGGGAGAAUGUGAGCGCCGACCUCCCAGAGAGGAGCCCGCAGUACAAGAAGAAACCAAAGGAGGGGUCUAGGUCUAGCCCCUGGGACCAGUCCUCUGGGCACUGCACCUGUCAGAACCUUCCAGAGGGAGGAAACCGGAGCAAUGAGCAACCCGUGAAAAAGCAGCAACAUGGACUUUUCGCUGCUUAUGAUGCAGACCAUGGAAAUCCUUUACUAGCCAGUACAGAUUCCCUCUCUCCAGCUGUAGUGCCUGUAAUCUCCUCUGCUGGCCUUGUCCCCCACCACAGACCAAUGCUAUGUCUCUCUCCAGGGAGCUCCAGAGGAAGUGUGAACUCCUGUUGUCCGGGGCCUGCCCUCACCUUGGACGAACUGGAUCUCCCCAGCUUGGCCGAAUCCCUUCCCAGCUCUGCGGCCCUUCAGUCUCUCUUGCAGUCCUCCAAGACUUCUGCCAGCCUGCACUGCUCAAUCCAGAGGCUUAAGCAAGAAGCUGCUUUAAUGGGGAUAUGGAACUCCCUCCCUUUGGAGUCCAGGUCUUCUCCACUAGCUUGCAGGUUGUGCUUUGCCCCUGAGGUCUCUACACCUGCUGUCCUGAGUGUGGGAGAACAGAGCAAUGCUAAGCAGGCUAGAAUGAAAUGGGGUCCCCCAUUUGUUAGGGAUUGGGGUCUUGGUUCAGUGACUGGUGAUGUGGGGGAUGCCGAACCUACCUCUCUCUGUCACAGGUGCAGAAAUACUGAAU